GGACAAGCUCGAUCACCAGAGAGCAUCAGGCCCAAGCCAGAAACCACACAGGAUGGCGCCAGGCAGCUCAGAUGGUUUAAUCAUGACCACAUUCAUGAAUAUACCCUUGAAUUCUGCUGAAUCAUUUUCUUGAGCUUAGCCAGAAGGGCUGCAAGGAAGAACAGAGACCAGAAGGCCUACAGCAGCUAGCAAGGUUAACUUCAUGGAGCACCAUCGUGCCUUUCAAAGUUCCCAUUUCACAAAGUUUUGCCUGGGAACUCAGCAGGAACUUUAGCAACAGGAGAGAAUUAGAAAUAAAUGGCUAAAUGAAACCUAGAUUUAUGUUUCAGUCAAUUGAGAGAAUCUGACAUGUUAUGUGCCAGCCCACAGUAGGUAUUCAGUAAGUAACUGUUGAAUAAAUUUGGUGGUAGAAAAAAAUAUCUCAGUGGCUCUUGGCAUUCAUUGCCUCUUCUAUAGAGACUAUACUAUACAUCCCUCUGCUGCCUUUGAGCAGGACUUUAAAACUCUAUGACUCUAGUAAAAUCAAGAGUAUUUUCACAACCAAGAUAAGUUUUUACAAUGGUUUUCCUCCACAUGGUAAAAAAGAAAGAAGGAAAAAAAAUGAUGAAGCUCCCUGAAUUACUGGAUGGGAAACACUGGCUUCUUUAAUGCAGGAAUGCAGACUGGCUUCGGGGUUCUUGAAGGAGAAAUGCAUAACU
rnacentral:lncRNA from 1 species